CCGGAUCUUUAAUAAUAAUAAAACAUAUGUGAAAGAAAAUAUAAACUUAAUUAAUUCAAACAUAAUUUACAAAUUUGGGAAAAAUACAAAGACCUAUGUAACUACUACUUACAUGUCUUAAGGUAGAAGUGAGGUUUCGCUUUCGGGAGUCCCCUGAAAUUUGACAGCUACCGAAAAUGAAGAACUAAGAAAACUUUUCACACUUUUUACACACCCUUUUUUUUUAAGUAACUUACAAACUUUAGUAACUAAGGAACUUAAAGAACUUAAGAAAAC
rnacentral:lncRNA from 1 species